UCCCUGGUGGCUCAGAGGUUAAAGCAUCUGCCUGGAAUGCAGGAGACCAGGGUUCGAUCCCUGGGUCAGGGAA
rnacentral:tRNA from 1 species